AUUCUCAUUCUCCUUUUCCCUCUCUCUCUCUCUCUUUCUCUUCCUACCAAUUAUAUUUCUUCUCACCAUCGUGUAACAACUUCACUCUCUUUCUUCUUUUGCUAAAUAUCUGGGACAAUGGUCGUAUGAAGAACAUGGAUGAACACUAUGAGUGCUCAUCCUUGAUUUUUCCAAAUUUCUCAAUUUAGCCCCAUUUCAUAAAAACCAAAGACAAACCCUAUCCUAAAUUUCAUACAAAUCAUGAAUCCACCAUCAAAAACACAAAACAUACAUCCUUGGGCUCAGGUAAUCUCCGGCGAGAACUCCGACGAGUCCAAUACCUCAGGAUAUGGAGAUGGAUGUAUGUUGUUGAUGUAGCAAGGUUGUGGAACUCGUGACAACAACAAAUUAAUUUCUUCUCCUCUUUUAAUUUUCCGUUUCGUUUAAUGUGUAUGUAUGAAUGAUGCAUGGUGCAAGGUUAUGCAAUGGUAUGAUGGAGAUGACAUGGUUGCAACAAUGGGGAACUCGUGACCUUCAAUUCCACUUGUUUUAUCUUUUUUUUAAUUCAUUUAUGUAUGCAUAUGGAUGGUGCAGGUGUGAUGAUUGCUAUGAACAAGGCAUGGUUUGAUGGUUUGAGAUGGUGAUGCCCUUGCAACAUAAAGCUUGUGCUUCCUUCAAGUCCAAGAUAUUUCCAUUCUUUUUCAUUUUUAUAUAUGUAUGUAAUGUAUGUGAAGGGAUGACUUAGGUACAACAUGAAAAAGUUUGUAAUUUUUUUCCCUUCUUUGUAUGUAUGUAUGCAUUGAUGGGAUGAAUAUGGUGUAAAGGUUAUAUUGAUGUUGUAAUAUAACUAUUUGAAUUUCAAAUGCAAAAAAAAAAUCAUUGUGUGUGUGUGGUA